GUCUACGGCCAUACCACCCUGAACGCGCCCGAUCUCAUCUGAUCUCGGAAGCUAAGCAGGGUCGGGCCUGGUUAGUACUUGGAUGGGAGAGUGCUCCAGGGAAGGAGGGAGAUGUCACCU
rnacentral:rRNA from 1 species